rnacentral:rRNA from 1 species
GUCUGGUGCCAGCAGCCGCGGUAAUUCCAGCUCCAAUAGCGUAUAUUAAAGUUGUUGCAGUUAAAAAGCUCGUAGUUGAAACUUGGGUCUGGCUGGCAGGUCCGCCUCACCGCGUGUACUUGUCCGGCCGGGCCUUCCUUCUGGAGAACCUCAUGCCCUUCACUGGGCGUGUUGGGGACCAGGACUUUUACUUUGAAAAAAUUAGAGUGUUCAAAGCAGGCCUUUGCUCGAAUACGUUAGCAUGGAAUAAUAGAAUAGGACGUGCGGUCCUAUUUUGUUGGUUUCUAGGACCGCCGUAAUGAUUAAUAGGGACAGUCGGGGGCAUCAGUAUUCAAUUGUCAGAGGUGAAAUUCUUGGAUUUAUUGAAGACUAACUACUGCGAAAGCAUUUGCCAAGGAUGUUUUCAUUAAUCAGUGAACGAAAGUUAGGGGAUCGAAGACGAUCAGAUACCGUCGUAGUCUUAACCGUAAACUAUGCCGACUAGGGAUCGGGCGAUGUUCUUUUUCUGACUCGCUCGGCACCUUACGAGAAAUCAAAG